GAUGAACGCUGGCGGCGUGCCUAAUACAUGCCAGUCGAGCGAACGGACGAGAAGCUUGCUUCUCUGAUGUUAGCGGCGGACGGGUGAGUAACACGUGGAUAACCUACCUAUAAGACUGGGAUAACUUCGGGAAACCGUAGCUAAUACCGGAUAAUAUUUUGAACCGCAUGGUUCAAAAGUGAAAGACGGUCUUGCUGUCACUUAUAGAUGGAUCCGCGCUGCAUUAGCUAGUUGGUAAGGUAACGGCUUACCAAGGCAACGAUGCAUAGCCGACCUGAGAGGGUGAUCGGCCACACGGGAACUGAGACACGGUCCAGACUCCUACGGGAGGCAGCAGUAGGGAAUCUUCCGCAAUGGGCGAAAGCCUGACGGAGCAACGCCGCGUGAGUGAUGAAGGUCUUCGGAUCGUAAAACUCUGUUAUUAGGGAAGAACAUAUGUGUAAGUAACUGUGCACAUCUUGACGGUACCUAAUCAGAAAGCCACGGCUAACUACGUG
rnacentral:rRNA from 1 species